GUAGUCUCGCACAGAUGCAUAUCAAUAAGCGGAGGAAAAGAAACUAACAAGGAUUCCCUCAGUAACGGCGAGUGAAGCGGGAAGAGCUCAAAUUCGAAAUCUUGAAAGGUCACCUUUCACGAAUUGUAGUUUAAAGAAGUGUUUUCUGUUACGAUCGUAAUAUAAGUUCUUUGGAAUAGGACAUCACAGAGGGUGAGAAUCCCGUCUAUGAUUGCGAUUUGUAGCUUUGUGAUACACUUUCAAAGAGUCGGGUUGUUUGGGAAUGCAGCCCAAAACGGGAGGUAAAUUUCUUCUAAGGCUAAAUAUAGGCGAGAGACCGAUAGCGAACAAGUACCGUGAGGGAAAGAUGAAAAGAACUUUGAAAAGAGAGUUAAAUAGUACGUGAAAUUGUCAAAAGGGAAGCGUUUAACACCAGUGUUGUUUUCUGAAAAUCAACCUCUGUUAGCUUUAUGCAUGUUUGUUUAGACCUAAUCAGCUAUCUUGCAUGUUCUAUUGUUUGCAGUGGUGCACUUUUCAGUUUACAGGUCAACAUCAGUUUUUUUUACCGUAAAAAAGUUAAAGAAAGGUAGCUCAUGGCUCCGGUCGUGAGUGUUAUAGUCUUUUUCCUAUGCGGUAGGAGAGACUGAGGUCUGCAGUGUAGGCUAUUUGGCUAGAUACUCAGGUGCUAUGUGAUACCAUUUCAUAAACAACUUGUUGAUUAUGUUUUGUCUAUUGCAUACUCGCUUGUACUAUCAUACCUACGCUUAGGAUGUUGAAGAUGUAGCACAUCAU
rnacentral:rRNA from 1 species